GAGUGCGUAACUCAAUGGAUAGAGUGUUUGACUACGAAUCAAAAAGUUGUGGGUUCGAAUCCCUCCGCGCUC
rnacentral:tRNA from 1 species